CAUUCACGGAGAGUUUGAUCCUGGCUCAGGACGAACGCUGGCGGCGUGCUUAACACAUGCAAGUCGAACGAUGAAGCCCUUCGGGGUGGA
rnacentral:rRNA from 1 species